UGGGGGAUAUUGCACAAUGGGCGAAAGCCUGAUGCAGCGACGCCGCGUGGGGGAUGAAGGCCUUCGGGUUGUAAACUUCUUUUGCUCUGAACAAGGCAUGCUAAUGGGUGUGUUGAGUGUAGGGGUUGAUUAGCGCCGGCUAACUACGUGCCAGCAGCCGCGGUAAUACGUAGGGCGCGAGCGUUGUCCGGAAUUAUUGGGCGUAAAGGGCUUGUAGGUGGCUGGUUGCGUCUGUCGUGAAAGCUCAUGGCUUAACUGUGGGUUUGCGGUGGGUACGGGCUGGCUUGAGUGCAGUAGGGGAGGCUGGAAUUCCUGGUGUAGCGGUGGAAUGCGCAGAUAUCAGGAGGAAUACCGGUGGCGAAGGCGGGUCUCUGGGCUGUUACUGACACUGAGGAGCGAAAGCAUGGGGAGCGGACAGG
rnacentral:rRNA from 1 species